UUCUCUGACUGGAGGUAAGCCUACUGGCUCUCUGAAAACAUGGUGGUAAGAGUCCAGCACAGUCUGCAAUGGAAGUUCCUCUGCCUGCAAUGUAGGGAGGUGUCCAUCCCAGGAGUUGAUAGAGUUGUCCCCAUGGUCCAGCAUUCGUAGGCUACAGAUGUUCACCCCUGCCCAGGAAGUUGUAUUAGUGAGUAAGCCAUUUAGCUCUUCUAAUGGAAUGGACUGGGUGAGAGUCGGGUGGUCCCCUUUUAAUGUCACUUCCUUCCCUUGCCACCAAAAAGUCAUCCAUUUGUCCUCAUAAUUAGCUAGUAUAUCACCCAACAAUUUUAACCACUGUAUACCCAGGACCAUAUCAUAGUUUUGCAAGGCCAUUACAAACACAUCAGCCUGGAACUGGGUGCCUUGCAUUUUCCACUGCAGGUUCUUGCAGAUUUGAGCACAAGCCAUGGUGCCCCCAUUGGCUGCUUCAACUAGCAUGGGUUUGAUGGAAGUGAGGAGGCAAUUGUGUUUGUUUGCUAGGUUAAUAUUAAGGAAAUUGUGAGUGCUGCCGGAGUCAAUCAGGAUUAAUAUAGGGCACUUGUCUAGUUUACCCCAUACUUUGAUGGUGUGGCAGCCGGUGGUGCCUUGCAAGGCAUGUAAUGACAGAUGAGGAGUAAGUUCUUCUUCCUUCAUGGCUUCAAGGGUUUCUUCCUCUUCAGAAUGAUCUUCUUCAUCUGCAAGGAUGCAUAAGGAAUAUAGUUUCCUAUUUCUGCACCUAUGUCCUGGCACAAAUCUUUCAUCACACCAAAAGCAUAAGCCCUUGGCCCUUCGCUCCUCCAUUUCUCGAGUUCUGAUGGGUCUAGAAGGUCGGUUGUUGAGGUUAGCAGGAGGGUUAUUAAAAGGUGGUCGGUUAGGGGUGGGUAGGAGAGCAGGUUGGGGAACCUUAGAAGUAGUGAAGGUGGGGCUGGGAGGUAGUUUGUUUGGGUUGAUGGUGUAGGUUGAUCUCUGGUUUUGCUGAUAAGAGUUUGCUUGAGCUAGAUUUUUAGAGUAGUGUGGGCAGUUUUUUCUGUAAGUGAGGGUGUUGUCAUGGAGCCUAGAUAGGUUAUAUGCUUGUUUGAGAGAUUUCGGUUCAAACAUCUUCACUAAAUUCUUAAUUUCAGUUUCCAAUCCUCCCAAGAAAAAUACUAAUGCUUGUUUUUCCGUUACCUGAGCUCUAUUCCAUAGCAUGUCGAACUCCUUGAUAUAGACUUCGAGAUCACCAGCUUGUUUGUGUUCUGUCAACUCUUCCAAGGGAUCCUUUUGUCCUCCAAACCGGCAGCACAGGGCCUCCACAUACUCAGCCCAAGUAGCUUCCUGUCCUUCCAAAUUUCUGAUGAAGUUCUGGUGCCAGUACAGUGCCAACCCAUCCAGGUAGUAGGAGGCUAGCUUCAAUUUAUCUUGCUCUGCUAUCUCCUCAAGGUCAAAGUAUUGGUUGCAUUUAUACAACCACUUAUGCACCUCGUCGCCUUCAAAAGUAGGAAAGUUCCUCUUAGGUUUGUGAGCCCUGUAGGAUCCUUGCGAUCCUUCUCCCAUCCAACCAGGACUGCAUGUCGUUGUAGGCUGAUGAGGGGCAGGGUGCUGUUGCGAUGAGCUGGUCUCUCCAGUGAGAGCUUGCAAGGUAUGUUUUAUUGCAAUCUGCUGAGUAGCUAUUUCUUUUAUCAUGGCUUUGAGUUGGCCAAGAUCAUCUGACUGUGAGUUUAUUUUGAUUUCUAUUCCAUCGAUUCUUUGGUUAGCAGCUUCCAAGGAAUCAUCGCAUCGUCUGACAUCUUGGGACCUGGUCUCUGGAGGCAUUUUGUGGAGGUCCAAAGAUGAAGCUCUGAUACCACUUUGCUGCGAGUUACUUUUCCAGUGUUAAAUCAACAGAGUCUAGUUGAUCAACAGAUUAGGGAGGGAAGGAGAAUUUAGAAGAGAGGGAGAAGAAGGUUACACAUGCCUGGCAUGUGUUGCCCACGAUGAAGAACGAGAGAGAAAUGAGGAAAAGAAUACUGAAUUCUGUUGUAAAAAAUGCAUGCCUUCUGUUACAAUUUGCGGGGUAUUUAUAUCCCUUCUUCAGUUCUGUUAUUUCCUAUUUUUA
rnacentral:lncRNA from 1 species